rnacentral:tRNA from 1 species
AUUCUCUUAGUAUAAACAGUACAAUUAACUUCCAAUUAAUAAGCCUCGAUAAAUCCGAGAGAGAAUA